rnacentral:misc_RNA from 1 species
UUCUACCAAAACUGCAAACCACAAAUAAAACUCCAUGCAAAUAUAGAUAGAUAGAUAGAGAUUAACACUGCUACUACAGUGCCAAGCCUCAGUUCUCACAUCCCUAGUCAUGUAGAACAAACUUGAUCUAGACCUUGUAUCCCCUGCUCUUCCUCCUUCCUCUGGCCUUUUCAAACUUCCUUCCCUUAGCCCGAACAUAUGGCUUAGUGUGGCUAUGGGGAACACCAGGAGCAGGACCAAAGUGUUUCACAGCCUCCCUAGCAUUCUUUGGGCCCCUCAGCAGAACCGUGUUCUGUCCGAGAGGGGCACGCAGAGCAAGCUGGUCAAACGUAAGACACUCACCACCAGCCUUAACAAUCCUCGCCCUCGCAGUCUCGGUAAACCUCAGUGCAGUUACCUUCAUCGCCGGGAUCUCCUCAGCCACCCUCUUAUCAUCAGUCACCGUCCCCACAAUUACCGCAAUCUUAUCAUCCUUUCCUUUCAUGAAUGUCAUGAGUCGCUUGAGCGAGAGCGG